rnacentral:lncRNA from 1 species
GAACUUAAAAUAUUUUAAAUAAAUUUGUAAUUGAAAUAUGAAAUAUGAUAAAAAUGUCAUGCAAUAUAUACAUUUUAGGAGUAAAAUAUAUCACAACAAAUGAAAUGGCCUAGUGAUAGGAGUCUCUUGCAAGUAAGGUUGAAGUCCUCUUUUCAUCAAAAUGUAGGAGUUUUAAAAUUUUAAUUAUCUAAACUUAAAAAAUUUAAAAAUGAAACCCAUGUGAAAUUAAAAA